rnacentral:rRNA from 1 species
AAACCCCCUCGCCGAAAGACUAAGGUUUCCUGAUCAACGCUAAUCGGAUCAGGGUUAGUCGGGUCCUAAGGCUCAGCCGAACGGUGAGGCCGAUGGCAGAACAGGUUAAUAUUCCUGUACUACCUUAAGGAGUGACGUGGAGACGGAGCAGUGACAGCGCCGCGGACUGACGGAAUAGUCCGUUGAAGGGUGUAGAUGUUGAUCAUCCCAGGCAAAUCCGGGAUGAGAGUCGAACCUGAUAGUAUGGAGCGUUCUUCGGAACAAUCCAAUAGUGCGUGUAAGCAUACUCCCAAGAAAAUCCGCUAAACUUAAUCUUUAAGGUACCCGUACCGCAAACGGACACACGUAGUCGGGUUGAAUAUACUAAGGCGCUUGAGUGAUUCACGGUUAAGGAACUAGGCAAAUUGACCCUGUAACUUCGGGAUAAAGGGUCCCAACGAGAGUUGGGCGCAGAGAAUAGGUCCAGGCAACUGUUUAACAAAAACACAGGGCUGUGCCAAAUUGAAAGAUUACGUAUACAGCCUGACACCUGCCCGGUGCUGGAAGGUUAAGAGGAGAUGUCAUCGCAAGAGAAGCAUUGAAUUGAAGCCCCAGUAAACGGCGGCCGUAACUAUAACGGUCCUAAGGUAGCGAAAUUCCUUGUCGGGUAAGUUCCGACCUGCACGAAUGGUGUAAUGAUCUGGACACUGUCUCAACCGUGAGCUCAGUGAAAUUGUAGUAUCGGUGAAGAUGCCGAUUACCCGCGAUGGGACGAAAAGACCCCGUGAACCUUUACUAUAGCUUAACAUUGAAUUUGGGUAAUUGAUGUGUAGGAUAGGCCGGAGACUUUGAAGCAGGUACGCCAGUAUUUGUGGAGUCGCUGUUGAAAUACGGCCCUUUGAUUAUUUGAGUUCUAACUCGUAGUUGCGAGGACACUGUUUGGUGGGUAGUUUGACUGGGGUGGUCGCCUCCAAAAGUGUAACGGAGGCUUCUAAAGGUGCCCUCACGACGAUUGGUAACCGUCGGCAGAGUGUAAUGGCAUAAGGGCGCUUGACUGGGAGACUUACAAGUCGAUCAGGUAGGAAACUAGAGCAUAGUGAUCCGGUGUUUCUGUAUGGAAAGGACAUCGCUCAAAGGAUAAAAGGUACUCCGGGGAUAACAGGCUGAUCCCUCCCAAGA